rnacentral:lncRNA from 1 species
GGCUGGAGGGUCGCCGAGUGAGGGCGUCUCACCUUCCGCUCGCAGCCGGGACUCGGCCCGAACCGGACGGAACGCGGCUGCACGCAGGCACCGCUGUGAAUCUCAAUCUAAGCUCAUCCUUUCGGGACCUGAACAGGGGCGGUACCAGCGGGACGCGUCUGGAGCAAGGGAGGCUGACGAAUGAGGCACGGGGCAGAGCAGCACCGGGGGAGGCAGCCUCUCCGGGUCUUCCUGGGGAGCCCACCCCACGGGAAGGAGCCUUCACAUCGCCCACACGGGGACCAGAGCGACAACAGAGAAGAGCUCUAACACGGUGGGAUAAAAGGAUCUGUUCCAAGCAGUGACGAAAACAGAAAAUACAAAUCUUAGAAGCCACCUGGAAAACAUGUUCUGCUCUGUACACGCGUGAGCAUCCGUGUCAGUGAGUAUUUACUGGGUUAGCAGAGAGCCUUGCCUGCAAACACUUGCAGUAAAAAGCACAGAAACUAUCCAGUCCUUUCCCCUAGGACCCGGGGCUCCAAAGAGCAAGGUACACAUAGCACCUUCCCUGUCUAUGGACAGGAGACGCCACUGUUUUCCUUGAACACGACGAGCAACAAUUCAAUCGAGGGGCUUAAAUGUGUCUUUGAAGAAGCAGAGAAGGAAACACACUUGAUGACCCUGUACAGCAGGCUUAUUCCUCUUACGGGGGAUAUAAGGAAAGACGAGCUGCAGAAACAGAAGUACACGCAGCCUGGGGUCGUGAACUAAACGCCAGGGGACAGAUCACACCUCAGAGACAGGUUCUCCUCUCUCUCUCUCUCUCUCUCCCCGCCAUCCCCGAACUAUGAAGCCCCCCCUCAGUUUGUUGUUGGUUAUCCUGGACCCACAAGUUCAGAGAAACACUAGUUCCCUAGGUAAGAAGAGCUGCCGGCAAGGUGCACAGCAGGAUGCGCAUGGAGCAGAGCGGCAGCAGUGAGUCUAAAACCAGCACAGCCGCAGGCCCCCGAAGAGAAGGCCUCGCAACCACACAGCCUCGGGAGCUGGGGCCUGACAGCCGGAACCUGUCUUCAUCACACAGCGCCAGCAUCAGGCCA